rnacentral:rRNA from 1 species
UACGAAGGGGGGCUAGCGUUGCUCGGAAUCACUGGGCGUAAAGGGUGCGUAGGCGGGUCUUUUAAGUCAGGGGUGAAAUCCUGGAGCUCAACUCCAGAACUGCCUUUGAUACUGAGGAUCUUGAGUUCGGGAGAGGUGAGUGGAACUGCGAGUGUAGAGGUGAAAUUCGUAGAUAUUCGCAAGAACACCAGUGGCGAAGGCGGCUCACUGGCCCGAUACUGACGCUGAGGCACGAAAAGCGUGGGGGAGCAAACAGG